rnacentral:rRNA from 1 species
UACGUAGGGACCGAGCGUUGUCCGGAAUCAUUGGGCGUAAAGCGCGUGUAGGCGGCUCGGUAAGUCUGCUGUGAAAGUCCAAGGCUCAACCUUGGAAAGCCGGUGGAUACUGUCGAGCUCGAGUCCGGAAGAGGCGAGUGGAAUUCCUGGUGUAGCGGUGAAAUGCGCAGAUAUCAGGAGGAACACCAAUGGCGAAGGCAGCUCGCUGGGACGGUACUGACGCUGAGACGCGAAAGCGUGGGGAGCAAACAGG